rfam:Buceros rhinoceros silvestris contig113271, whole genome shotgun sequence.
GCCGUGAUCGUAUAGUGGUUAGUACUCUGCACUGUGGCUGCAGCAGCCUCGGUUCAAAUCCGAGUCAUGGCA